rnacentral:rRNA from 1 species
UACGGGGGGGGCAAGCGUUGUUCGGAAUUACUGGGCGUAAAGGGCUCGUAGGUGGCCAACUAAGUCAGACGUGAAAUCCCUCAGCUUAACUGGGGAACUGCGUCUGAUACUGGAUGGCUUGAGAUUGGGAGAGGGAUGUGGAAUUCCAGGUGUAGCGGUGAAAUGCGUAGAUAUCUGGAGGAACACCGGUGGCGAAGGCGGCAUCCUGGACCGGUAUUGACGCUGAGGCGCGAAAGCCAGGGGAGCAAACGGG